UCCAACAGCCUUCGCCAUGAAGCUUGAUGUAGUUGAUGAGGCGCUCAUCUUCCUCUUUCGUCCAAGCUCCUUUGUUUGUGUGCUCUUUCUCACAACAAGGAGAUCUACCCAUGAUGAUGAUAGUGAUGAAGAAAUUGAUAGCGUUGUUCUUUUGGAGAAAGAGGACAUUAAGAAAGGAAAGGAAGUCUGUACUAACAGUCUUGUUGGUAGAAUAUCUUCAGAGAGAAAAUUUUUAGUUGGUACAAUGGAAAGUGCCAUGAAAGCGAUCUGGGAGAAUCCCGAUGAAUUUCGAGUGGUGGAAAGACUAAAGAACCAAUUCUAAUUUUUCUUCAAUUCUGAAACGGACAUAAUGAGGGUGGAAAACAGUUCCCAUGACUCUUCAAGGACUAUGUCCUUUAUGUAAGAAGAUGGUGUGAGGCUGACUAGGAGAACAAGAACAAAAUCUAAUCCUUCCCAACUUGAAUUCAACUUUGGGGAGUUCUGGAGAGCUUCAAGACACUGGAGGUUGCAAGAAAAUUUGGAUGCAAUAUAGGUGAGGUGUUGGAUGUAGGCUUUUUUGAAAUCAGGGGUGUGGAAUCUAGAAUUGUCAAGGCAAAAGUUAAAAUCAAGGCGGAUUAAAGGGUUAAGGAUAUAGUGAGGCUUGUUAUUCCAAAAUGAAAAAUCAUGGAAAUAGGCAUACGGUAUGAAAGAUGUGGCAAAUUCUACACAUAUUGUGCUCAUUUGGGACAUCAACCGAGAGUUUGCAAUAUACUAAUGAAAAACACUGCAGAGAAUAGGGUGAGAUAGAAUAAGAUUGGUGAUUGGCUUAGGCAGAUUAGAUAGGCAAAAGAGUGGAGACUGAGAAAAACGGCAACUCGGGUAAUCAUUCUGAACAAUAGCAGCAGAGGAAUAAAUCCAUGAAGAAACCAAUCCCAGUUUGGCUACUUAAUAGCUUUUCAAGUCUAUCACUCACAGAGAAUAAAAUAGAU